rnacentral:rRNA from 1 species
CCUACGGGUGGCUGCAGUGGGGAAUAUUGGACAAUGGGCGAAAGCCUGAUCCAGCCAUGCCGCGUGUGUGAAGAAGGCCUUCGGGUUGUAAAGCACUUUCGGUGGGGAAGAAAGCCUUGGGGCUAAUACCCUCGAGGAAGGACAUCACCCACAGAAGAAGCACCGGCUAACUCCGUGCCAGCAGCCGCGGUAAUACGGAGGGUGCGAGCGUUAAUCGGAAUUACUGGGCGUAAAGCGCGCGUAGGCGGUCUGAUAAGCCGGUUGUGAAAGCCCCGGGCUCAACCUGGGAACGGCAUCCGGAACUGUCAGGCUAGAGUGCAGGAGAGGAAGGUAGAAUUCCCGGUGUAGCGGUGAAAUGCGUAGAGAUCGGGAGGAAUACCAGUGGCGAAGGCGGCCUUCUGGACUGACACUGACGCUGAGGUGCGAAAGCGUGGGUAGCAAACAGGAUUAGAUACCCGGGUAGUC